rnacentral:rRNA from 1 species
CCCUUAGAUGUCCGGGGCUGCACGCGCGCUACACUGUAGAAAGCAGCGUGCUUUAAAACCUUUCCUGAAAAGGAUGGGCAACCCCAGCAAAAUUCUACGUGCUUGGGAUAGAGAUUUGCAAUUUUCUCUCUUGAACGAGGAAUUCCCAGUAAGUGCGAGUCAUCAGCUCGCGUUGAUUACGUCCCUGCCCUUUGUACACACCGCCCGUCGCUCCUACCGAUUGAAUGGUCCGGUGAAGCGCUCGGACCGCGGCCUCUUGACGGUUCGCUGUCGAUUGGCUGUGGGAAGUUCGUUAAACCUUAUCAUUUAGAGGAAGGAGAAGUCGUAACA